rnacentral:rRNA from 1 species
UUUAAAAGGACGGUACCUGACGAUAGAAGCCCCGGCUAACUAACGUGCCAGCAGCCGCGGUAAUACGUAGGGGGCAAGCGUUAUCCGGAUUUACUGGGUGUAAAGGGAGCGUAGACGGCAGGGCAAGUCUGAAGUGAAAGCCCGGGGCUCAACCCCGGGACUGCAUUGGAAACUGUCCAUGCUAGAGUGUCGGAGAGGUAAGCGGAAUUCCUAGUGUAGCGGUGAAAUGCGUAGAUAUUAGGAGGAACACCAGUGGCGAAGGCGGCUUACUGGACGAUGACUGACGUUGAGGCUCGAAAGCGUGGGGAGCAAACAGGAUUAGAUACCCUGGUAGUCCACGCCGUAAACGAUGACUACUAGGUGUCGGCUAGCAAAGCUUUUCGGUGCCGCAGCAAACGCAAUAAG